AGCAGCCGCGGUAAUUCCAGCUCCAAUAGCGUAUAUUAAAGUUGUUGCAGUUAAAAAGCUCGUAGUUGAAUUUCGAGAUCAGUACGCUGGUCGUGCCUUCGGUAUGCACUGGUGUCACUGGUUUCUCCCUUCUGAAGAACCGUUAUGUCAUUAAGUUGGUGUGGCGGGGAAUCAGGACUGUUACUUUGAAAAAUUAGAGUGUUUAAAGCAGGCUCGCGCUUGAAUACAUUAGCAUGGAAUAAUGAAAUAGGACGUUUGACCCUAUUUUGUUGGUUUCUAGGAUCGACGUAAUGAUUAAUAGGGAUAGUUGGGGGCAUUAGUAUUCAAUUGUCAGGGGUGAAAUCCUUGGAUUUAUUGAAGACUAACUACUGCGAAAGCAUUUGCCAAGGAUGUUUUCAUUAAUCAAGAACGAAAGUUUGGGGAUCGAAGACGAUCAGAUACCGUCGUAGUCUUAACCAUAAACUAUGCCGACUAGGGAUCGGAUGAUGUUAAUUUUUAAUGUACUCUA
rnacentral:rRNA from 1 species